GACAGAGGGUGCGAGCGUUAAUCGGAAUUACUGGGCGUAAAGCGUGCGUAGACGGUUAUUUAAGUCGGGUGUGAAAGCCCCGGGCUCAACCUGGGAAUUGCAUUCGAGACUGAAUAGCUAGGGUACGGUAGAGGGAAGCGGAAUUUCCGGUGUAGCGGUGAAAUGCGUAGAUAUCGGAAGGAACAUCAGUGGCGAAAGCGGCUUCCUGGACCAGUACCGACGUUCAGGCACGAAAGCGUGGGGAGCAAACAGG
rnacentral:rRNA from 1 species